UACGAACCGUCCAAACGUUACUCGGAAUCACUGGGCUUAAAGGGUGCGUAGGCUGCGCGGCGGGUGGGAUGUGAAAUCCCCCGGCUCAACCGGGGAAUAGCGUCCCAAACCGCCGUGCUCGAGGGAGACAGAGGUGAGCGGAACUGAUGGUGGAGCGGUGAAAUGCGUUGAUAUCAUCAGGAACACCAGUGGCGAAGGCGGCUCACUGGGUCUUUCCUAACGCUGAGGCACGAAAGCUAGGGGAGCGAACGGG
rnacentral:rRNA from 1 species